rnacentral:rRNA from 1 species
GACGUAGGGCGCGAGCGUUGUCCGGAUUUAUUGGGCGUAAAGAGCUCGUAGGCGGCUUGUCGCGUCGACCGUGAAAACUUGGGGCUCAACCCCAAGCCUGCGGUCGAUACGGGCAGGCUCGAGUUCGGUAGGGGAGACUGGAAUUCCUGGUGUAGCGGUGAAAUGCGCAGAUAUCAGGAGGAACACCGGUGGCGAAGGCGGCUCUCUGGGACGGUACUGACGCUGAGACGCGAAAGCGUGGGGAGCGAACAGG